rnacentral:rRNA from 1 species
UACGAGGGGGGCAAGCGUUGUUCGGAAUCACUGGGCGUAAAGCGUACGCAGGCGGAUGACUAAGCUAGGGGUGAAAUCCCGGGGCUCAACCUCGGAACUGCCUUUAGAACUGGUCAUCUAGAGAUCGGAAGAGGAUGGCGGAAUUCCUAGUGUAGAGGUGAAAUUCGUAGAUAUUAGGAGGAACACCAGUGGCGAAGGCGGCCAUCUGGUCCGAUACUGACGCUCAUGUACGAAAGCGUGGGGAGCAAACAGG